GUGGGGAAUCUUAGACAAUGGGGGCAACCCUGAUCUAGCCAUGCCGCGUGAGUGAUGAAGGCCUUAGGGUCGUAAAGCUCUUUCGCUGGGGAAGAUAAUGACGGUACCCAGUAAAGAAACCCCGGCUAACUCCGUGCCAGCAGCCGCGGUAAUACGGAGGGGGCUAGCGUUGUUCGGACUUACUGGGCGUAAAGCGCGCGUAGGCGGACUGAAAAGUUGGGGGUGAAAUCCCGGGGCUCAACCUCGGAACUGCCUUCAAAACUAUAAGGCUGGAGUUCGAGAGAGGUUAGUGGAAUUCCGAGUGUAGAGGUGAAAUUCGUAGAUAUUCGGAGGAACACCAGUGGCGAAGGCGGCUCACUGGCUCGAUACUGACGCUGAGGUGCGAAAGCGUGGGGAGCAAACAGGAUUAGAAACCCCGGUAGUCC
rnacentral:rRNA from 1 species